CCCGCCGGCUCCGUCAAAGCUUUUCUCAGCACUGUGGGUCCUGGGUCCUUGGGGGAUCAGAGGAAUGGGGCCAUAGUCAUUUUCAGUCCCAGGAGCUCUGAUGGGGUAGGAUGGAGCUAGAGCCUUUGCUCCUUCCUCUCCAUCCCUGAGGGAGGAUGCAGGAAAGUCUGUCUAUUCUCAUGCUAAUUAAGCAGAGCGCACCCUGCCCAGUGAGCAAACCGAGCCGGCUCUACCUCCACCCCUCUCCCUCACUGUGGUUUCAUCCCAGUCCCGCUACUCUCAGAUAGGGGCUGGGCAGAGCUGGGGGAUUUAGGAAAGCCCUCCUUCCCUGAGACAAAGGAGCCGUUCCCAUAAAGAAGCUGUGUGAACCUCGUGGCGGCACAGCCAGGCGGGGAAGCCGGGCUCCGGGAGACUGGUCCAGCUCUCAGCUGUAAGAGCUGCAUCUGUCAAGCCCGGGGAAGCGAUACCGAGUCUAAUGUGAUGUGCCUUCAGCAUCUUCACUGGAAUCACGGAUGGGGAGGAGACGGAAGAGUGCUGAAGAACCUGGCUGAAGAUUGUUUAUUCCUUCCUGAUCCCUUUUCCUAUCCUCUAAGAGGGAAGAAGUGAGAUGAUCCAGAACUCUCCUAGAUUGUGGAAAGAGUGAUGACCAUCCUCCGCCUUUUACAAAAGGAAAACCUUGAUCAAGGACAGUCAACGGCUUGCCCAAAGUCAUCAGCCGGGAAGCAAUGGACUGCUUGACUUCUGCCGCCGCCACGGGCAGGCAUCCACAGAUGGCGUGCGCUGAGAGCAGGGCAUCCCGUGACACUGGUCUGAGACCUUCCCCACAAGUCUCUUCCCUGCCCUUGUGAUCGAGGGGUGGUGCCCCAAGGGCAGGACAGGAGGGUGUGGAAUGGCCACGGGUGGAGGGCAGCGCUGCAGGCUAAGAAGAUGGAGAGUGGUGCCUGGUGAGGGUGGGAGAGCCUCCCACCCCAUGGUCUCCCCUCAGUGGCUCAUUCUCCCUUUAGUCACCAAAGGUCAAAGCAGAGGAAACCAAUGUCCAGAUAAAUAAGAUGCUUCACUCCAGGUCAGUCAGCCAGUCAUUCACAGAGCUGCGCCCAGUCCCGGGCUCUCUGACUGCCACUUGAGGGCUCUUUUUAUGCGACUAUGGGGUCACCCCAGUGGGGUCUCCAUGCAGAGUGUGGGGAAGGGGACGGUAUGCUUAGUCUUCAGUCAUCACUGAAAAUAAGAAAAUCAAAAGGAUCAAGUAGCUUCGUCCUGGAAUCACUGAAUGCUCAAAACGGAAAGAGAUUUUAAAAUAAUUAAGUUUCAUUUUUAAUCUUAUUGCAUUAGUAGAAUUUUUACCAUAUAAUCUUAUUACUUUUAUAAAUUAAAAAAAACUAGUCUGAAGAUUAAAUUGAUAAUGCUAAGUGGGUGAAUGUUUGCUCUUUAUUUUGUAUAUUUCUGUAGUCUAUAAUUUUUGUCAACCCUCUCAUCUGUAAUUACAUAGAUUAGUAAACUCAUGCCCAUAAAAAUUAAAUUACUUAUCCAAUAUUACAAAAAUAGACUAACUGCUGUGGUCUGAUUGGAAAAAUACAGACUUUAAAGUCAGGAUUGACCAAGGUUUGAAUCCCAGCUCUGCAACUUACUGUGUGGUGCUGAGCACCUAAACGAACCUCUCUGAGGCUCAGAUUGCCUGUUCCUUUCAGAAUUCACACAAGUAAGAACACCUGCCUUGUGGGGCCAUUACAAGGAGUAAAUGAGACAAAGGAGGUGAAAACCGUCUGUUUCUACAGAAGGUUCUUGCUCAAGUCACUAACGGCUUCCUCAUCAUCAGAUUCAAGAGGCUCACUUCACCUUUCUGCAGCAUUUCACACCAAACCCAUCUUCGUUCUCUAGAACGUUCACUCCCCUGCUUUCCAUGGCGCACGGGCCUCUCCUCCUAUUUCUCGUCCCUCCUUCUCUGCCCCCUUUGCCGGGCCUCCUUCCCACAUAUCAGGGUCCCAAAAAGCAGUGGUUAUCAGACCACCAGUCAAAAUGUCAGCAGCAUUUCAUACCAUUAAAUAGAAGAGAAGAGAAAUGGUAGCAUAGGGUAAGACAGGAUGGGGCAGAACACAACAAAGCAGAAAACACCAGAAGGCAUCAGCCUCUAAUAAGACCCUGUAUCAUUU